CCCUAAGUGGGUGGUAAACUCCAUCUAAGGCUAAAUACUACCACGAGACCGAUAGCGAACAAGUACCGUGAGGGAAAGUUGAAAAGCACUUUGAAGAGAGAGUUCAAUAGUACGUGAAACCGUUCAGGGGUAAACCUGAGAAACCCGAAAGGUCGAAGGGGGAGAUUCAACCGCGUCUCGGCCGCAAACGGCAGGGGUGCGUGCGCGACGUUCCGGUCUCUCGGUUUCGGCCGAGGCCGGGCGCGUGCCGUGCCCGUCGAACGGUCGAACGCGUGCACUUCUCCCCUUGUAGGACGUCGCGACCCGUCGGGUGCGGGUCUAAGGGGCAGCGUGGGCAGACCCGUCGGUCGGAUCGCAAGGUUCGGUCCGGCGGGACCCGUCGCCACCCGGCCCGCCCGCUCGACGGUAUGCUAUGAGGCGCGGGGCCGCGAUCAUUUCGCGUCCGGCCCGCGGCGAGCGCGCGCGGUAACUCGUGCGCCGGACCUAGUGCCGGCGCCGGGCCCGUCGCCGCUGUCUGCCGCGGUUCUCCUCGGACAGAGCCCCCUCAGCGCCGGUCGGCGACGCCGUAGCUUUGGGUACUUUCAGGA
rnacentral:rRNA from 1 species